rnacentral:rRNA from 1 species
AUUGAACGCUGGCGGCAGGCCUAACACAUGCAAGUCGAGCGGAUGAAGGGAGCUUGCUCCUGUAUUCCGCGGCGGACGGGUGAGUAAUGCCUAGGAAUCUGCCUGGUCGUGGGGGAUAACGUCCGUACACGGGCGCUAAUACCGCAUACGUCCUGAGGGAGAAAGUGGGGGAUCUUCGGACCUCACGCUAUCAGAUGAGCCUAGGUCGGAUUAGCUAGUUGGUGGGGUAAAGGCCUACCAAGGCGACGAUCCGUAACUGGUCUGAGAGGAUGAUCAGUCACACUGGAACUGAGACACGGUCCAGACUCCUACGGGAGGCAGCAGUGGGGAAUAUUGGACAAUGGGCGAAAGCCUGAUCCAGCCAUGCCGCGUGUGUGAAGAAGGUCUUCGGAUUGUAAAGCACUUUAAGUUGGGAGGAAGGGCAGUAAGUUAAUACCUUGCUGUUUUGACGGUACCAACAGAAUAAGCACCGGCUAACUUCGUG